AGAGUUUGAUCCUGGCUCAGGACGAACGCUGGCGGCGCGCCUAACACAUGCAAGUCGAACGGAGUUAUUUUCUUCACUCCGAGCUUUUUGCCGGUUAGCCGGAGCGGCAAUCGGUUUUGCCCAGCAUAAAAAGCAAAACCGAUUUAGGCUCAUAAAGUAAGACUAACACAGAGGGCAGAGAGUUGGGAGUGAAGAAAAUAACUUAGUGGCGAACGGGUGAGUAACGCGUGAGUAACCUGCCCUGGAGUGGGGGACAACAGUUGGAAACGACUGCUAAUACCGCAUAAGCCCACGGCCCGGCAUCGGGCUGAGGGAAAAGGAUUUAUUCGCUUCAGGAUGGACUCGCGUCCAAUUAGCUGGUUGGUGAGGUAACGGCCCACCAAGGCGACGAUUGGUAGCCGGACUGAGAGGUUGAACGGCCACAUUGGGACUGAGACACGGCCCAGACUCCUACGGGAGGCAGCAGUGGGGGAUAUUGCACAAUGGGGGAAACCCUGAUGCAGCGACGCCGCGUGGAGGAAGAAGGUUUUCGGAUUGUAAACUCCUGUCGUUAGGGACGAUAAUGACGGUACCUAACAAGAAAGCACCGGCUAACUACGUGCCAGCAGCCGCGGUAAAACGUAGGGUGCAAGCGUUGUCCGGAAUUACUGGGUGUAAAGGGAGCGCAGGCGGACCGGCAAGUUGGAAGUGAAAACUAUGGGCUCAACCCAUAAAUUGCUUUCAAAACUGCUGGCCUUGAGUAGUGCAGAGGUAGGUGGAAUUCCCGGUGUAGCGGUGGAAUGCGUAGAUAUCGGGAGGAACACCAGUGGCGAAGGCGACCUACUGGGCACCAACUGACGCUGAGGCUCGAAAGCAUGGGUAGCAAACAGGAUUAGAUACCCUGGUAGUCCAUGCCGUAAACGAUGAUUACUAGGUGUUGGAGGAUUGACCCCUUCAGUGCCGCAGUUAACACAAUAAGUAAUCCACCUGGGGAGUACGACCGCAAGGUUGAAACUCAAAGGAAUUGACGGGGGCCCGCAC
rnacentral:rRNA from 1 species